GAUACCUCCAGUAGCAGAGGUGCGAGUUGGGUAGGUGUUCAGGGUUGAGAUGUUGGAUUUUAGUGGAGGCGGCCUAACAAUAGACUAUACUGCCGAGGACAUCAAGCAUGCGGAUCUGUCUGUUGUGAGUUCUUCACAACACUCUUAUGUCAUUGUUUUCAAGCUAGAAAGGGUUAUUUCUUGCUCUGAUUUUACUGGCCUGGAUUGAGCUGAG
rnacentral:misc_RNA from 1 species